rnacentral:rRNA from 1 species
UGGGGAAUUUUGGACAAUGGGCGCAAGCCUGAUCCAGCCAUGCCGCGUGCGGGAAGAAGGCCUUCGGGUUGUAAACCGCUUUUGUCAGGGAAGAAAUCUUCUGAGUUAAUACCUCGGGAGGAUGACGGUACCUGAAGAAUAAGCACCGGCUAACUACGUGCCAGCAGCCGCGGUAAUACGUAGGGUGCAAGCGUUAAUCGGAAUUACUGGGCGUAAAGCGUGCGCAGGCGGUUUUGUAAGACAGAGGUGAAAUCCCCGGGCUCAACCUGGGAACUGCCUUUGUGACUGCAAGGCUUGAGUGCGGCAGAGGGGGAUGGAAUUCCGCGUGUAGCAGUGAAAUGCGUAGAUAUGCGGAGGAACACCGAUGGCGAAGGCAAUCCCCUGGGCCUGCACUGACGCUCAUGCACGAAAGCGUGGGGAGCAAACAGGAUUAGAUACCCUGGUAGUCCACGCCCUAAACGAUGUCAACUGGUUGUUGGGAAGGUUCCUUCUCAGUAACGUAGCUAACGCGUGAAGUUGACCGCCUGGGGAGUACGGCCGCAAGGUUGAAAACUC